rnacentral:rRNA from 1 species
CAUGGAGUUUGAUCCUGGCUCAGAUUGAACGCUGGCGGAAUGCUUUACACAUGCAAGUCGAACGGUAGAGGGGGCAACCCCUCGAGAGUGGCGAACGGGUGAGUAAUAUAUCGGAACGUGCCCAGUCGUGGGGGAUAACGUAGUGAAAAUUACGCUAAUACCGCAUACGAUCUAAGGAUGAAAGCGGGGGUAUCGCAAGACCUCGCGCAAUUGGAGCGGCCGAUAUCAGAUUAGGUAGUUGGUGGGGUAAACGGCUCACCAAGCCAACGAUCUGUAGCUGGUCUGAGAGGACGACCAGCCACACUGGAACU